AGUAACGCGUGGGUAACCUGCCUCAUACAGGGGGAUAACAGUUAGAAAUGACUGCUAAUACCGCAUAAGCGCACAGUGCUGCAUGGCACAGUGUGAAAAACUCCGGUGGUAUGAGAUGGACCCGCGUCUGAUUAGCUAGUUGGUGGGGUAACGGCCUACCAAGGCGACGAUCAGUGGCCGGCCUGAGAGGGUGAACGGCCACAUUGGGACUGAGACACGGCCCAA
rnacentral:rRNA from 1 species